CUGUCCUAAGCCAAGCUAGAGCCAACCAUUGGAUCUGUGAGACACAGGAAGUGAGGUAGGGAACAGCCUCUGGAAUUCACUCACUUCCUGUGGAGAGAGCUAGACGGGAGUUGGUGUUAGGAGCUUGGAGAGAGAGGACGCCCGCAGACAGCUUUCCUUCAGAUCGGUCACGGUCUUGUUGGUGGAACUGCCAGAAAUCCAGUAUCCCAAGGUUGAAGAAUAUGUGAUGAGGAGUAAAGAAAUAAGAAUACUGAAAAGGUGAAGAA
rnacentral:lncRNA from 1 species